UACGUAGGGUGCGAGCGUUGUCCGGAAUUAUUGGGCGUAAAGGGCUCGUAGGCGGUUUGUCGCGUCGGGAGUGAAAUCCACUGGCUUAACUGGUGGCUUGCUUUCGAUACGGGCAGACUGGAGGUAUGCAGGGGAGAACGGAAUUCCUGGUGUAGCGGUGAAAUGCGUAGAUAUCUGGAGGAACACCGGUGGCGAAGGCGGCGUCCUGGACCAACACUGACACUGAGGAGCGAAAGCCAGGGGAGCAAACGGG
rnacentral:rRNA from 1 species